GGCGCUAUAGUGUAGUGGCAGCACAUGGGAUUCUGACAAACGUGAACAUGAAUUCCCAUAACCCAGGUUCGACCCCUGGUAGUGCCU